rnacentral:rRNA from 1 species
UCGAACGAAGCACUUUAUUUGAUUUCCUUCGGGACUGAUUAUUUUGUGACUGAGUGGCGGACGGGUGAGUAACGCGUGGGUAACCUGCCUUGUACAGGGGGAUAACAGUUGGAAACGGCUGCUAAUACCGCAUAAGCGCACGGCAUCGCAUGAUGCAGUGUGAAAAACUCCGGUGGUAUAAGAUGGACCCGCGUUGGAUUAGCUAGUUGGUGAGGUAACGGCCCGCCAAGGCGACGAUCCAUAGCCGACCUGAGAGGGUGACCGGCCACAUUGGGACUGAGACACGGCCCAAACUCCUACGGGAGGCAGCAGUGGGGAAUAUUGCACAAUGGGCGAAAGCCUGAUGCAGCGACGCCGCGUGAGCGAAGAAGUAUUUCGGUAUGUAAAGCUCUAUCAGCAGGGAAGAUAAUGACGGUACCUGACUAAGAAGCACCGGCUAAAUACGUGCCAGCAGCCGCGGUAAUACGUAUGGUGCAAGCGUUAUCCGGAUUUACUGGGUGUAAAGGGAGCGCAGGCGGUGCGGCAAGUCUGAUGUGAAAGCCCGGGGCUCAACCCCGGUACUGCAUUGGAAACUGUCGUACUAGAGUGUCGGAGGGGUAAGCGGAAUUCCUAGUGUAGCGGUGAAAUGCGUAG